rnacentral:lncRNA from 1 species
GAUUCCCCAUACUGUAAUCCUCUACCCCAAUUUUUUUCAUUACCUUCCUCACAUAUGUAUAAGACCGAAUCCAAAGAACUAAGAUGAGAGAAUUUUGGGAGAGCCGCCACUCCAACUACUGCCAUGUAUUAUCCAUACUAGAUCUGACCAUCUGUCCAUCCUACCCUCCUCUACGUUCUUGACAACCCAUUUUUGUCUUAGUCAAGUCUUUUAGUGGCACAUUUUGACCUUCUUUUCCAUUACUUAGAAAAAGUGAGCUAUUAUUCAGAUACAAAAUACUAUCAUUAUCGCCUAGAAAAUUAGACAUUCAACCCGUAAUCACAAUGAUCCAAUUACAAAAGCUCUGAACCCCCUAGGUCUAGACUGGCUCUGGCCCCUGGUUUUAUCACUUGACCUUCACAUGAGUAAACUCGUUGAUAUAGAGGAUUACAGUAUCGAUUUCUUUAAAAGAAAAAAACCUUAAUUUAUAAAAGUUCAAAAGAUUUUAAUUCAAUGUUUGUAAGUAAAAAAACAUAUUUCAUAAAACGGUUGCAAAUCACAUCGAAUAAGUUCCAUUGAUUGGUGUAUGGUUCUCAUAAGGGAAGUAACAGCAGCAUAAGCCAUAUAUCCAAAAAAUAGGACUAUCUCUCACUCUCAGUAUGAAAAUGGACAAAUUAAUUGCCACAAGUUAUGAAAAUGGCUAGUCCUCAGAACACCUUAACUACUUGCUGCAGAAUAAAAAAAAGACGCAAAAAAUGGAAAAUAAUAUGUUAGAUGUCCCAUAAUUAAGGAACAAGAGAACAUUAUAGUAAGAAUGAGCAUGCAGGUAUAAGAACUUACUCAUUAUUGCGGCAAGAAGCAACUUCUUUCUCAAAGUCAUCAUCAUCAUCAUCUUCAUCUGUUGUUACAGUAUCAAAUACCAAUUUCUCGAGCUGAUAUAAGUAGCGAAAAUCAUACAGGUCCUUGUGAUUGCGAAAGUCCUCUGGGACGCCAAAUACUUUCAACUUCUUUAAAUUGGGAAAUAGUCUAAAAAAAGACCCUGUACAAUACCAAGGAUUCAAUUGAUUGAGGCAUUGCAAACUUUUCAAAACCAAUCUGUUCUCUGUAGGCUCAUGACUCUGCAAGUAAUUCCAGCCCAUACACAGCUUCCUCAAUUGUGGCAUUGUCAAAAUUUCCGAUGGUAAUAUGAAAGGAUAAGCACAAUCACGAAACGGAAAGUUAAACUUAAAAGUUUGUAGAUAGCAUAGGCUUGAUAUCGAUAGAGGAAUGUCUAUUAUUGAUGAGGGAACAGCUUUUAACGAUCCUCGAUACUGCUUUAAGCAAGGAUAAAAACACAAAGAUAGGUAUCUCAAAUGAAUUAGAGAAAGUACUCCACUGGGAAAAAUUGGGUAUAUAUUCAAACCAAGAUCUAGUACUCUUACUAGCUUGAAAGACAAUUCCAGUGUGAAGCAUUUCAAUCCACCCAACAUGAUAAUAGAAUGAGCCUCACUGUUACGACACCAAGCCAAUUCUUCCUUCUUAUAGAUACUGAUCCGACUUCGACUCUUAAAGGAACACUGCAUGGAUUGUGCACAUGAAUUUUGAUCACUCUUUCCUCUGAUAACAUUCACAAAAUUCAUGUUUCGAGCUUCCCUCAAACAGAGUUCACGGAUCACAUCAUGCAUUCCACAUCUCUCUAUUUCCCCAUCAAAACUCAAAUUGUGGAUAGAAAUUAGACUUCUAUCUACAAGUUCGUUUAUACAUGUUUCUGCCACCUCUUCUAUGCUUUUUCCUUCUUCUUCAUUCAAAAACCCCUCUACGGCCCAUAACUCAACAAGUGCAUUUACAUAAAUCCGUUCAUCCUCUGCGAAAAUUGCAAAAUACAGAAAACACGGUUUUAGGUGAGAAGGCAAGUGAUGGUAACUCAAAGCCAACACUCUCAUGCAUUUUGCUUCAAGAUCUCUGCUUACCACCGAACUUACAUUCUCCGCAACAUUUUGCCACUCAUCCAAUGUUUUACUGAUUUUGGAGAGAAGUCCAGCAAUCAAAGUAAUUUCUAGAGGUAACCCUCCACAUUUUAAUGCAAUUUGUUUCCCAAUAUUUUCAAAUUCAGGAGAAUAAGAACCUUCUUUUUCAAAGAUCUUUUUGUGUAGUAAAUUCCAACUUUCGUCAAAAUUCAUGAGGCGCAUNNNNNNNNNNNNNNNNNNNNNNNNNNNNNNNNNNNNNNNNNNNNNNNNNNNNNNNNNNNNNNNNNNNNNNNNNNNNNNNNNNNNNNNNNNNNNNNNNNNNNNNNNNNNNNNNNNNNNNNNNNNNNNNNNNNNNNNNNNNNNNNNNNNNNNNNNNNNNNNNNNNNNNNNNNNNNNNNNNNNNNNNNNNNNNNNNNNNNNNNNNNNNNNNNNNNNNNNNNNNNNNNNNNNNNNNNNNNNNNNNNNNNNNNNNNNNNNNNNNNNNNNNNNNNNNNNNNNNNNNNNNNNNNNNNNNNNNNNNNNNNNNNNNNNNNNNNNNNNNNNNNNNNCAUGUUCAGGUAAACUGACAAGUGAGCUAGUUUGUGGUUUUAGAUCUUUCAUGCUGUCCGAUGCUGCCAUCCACUGUUUCACGGUGGAAUCAAUGUAUUCUAGUGCUUGUUCCAAGACGAAAAAAAUCUCCCACAUAGCCCUGCUUCUUUCCUCCAAAUUCUGUGCUAAAAAAACAUUUCUUGAUUCCGAGUCAACCAUAUCUUCUGUUGUGUAUGCUACCUCUGCGAUUUCAACUUCCAAGAUUGUUAACCCCUCAUGAUCGCCCAUUAUAUUGCAGGAUUUCUCCAGAAUAGCUCUCAAAGAUUUGAGCUUUUCAUAAAACGGUUGCAAAUCACAUCCAGUAAGUUCCAUUGAUUGAUGUAUGGUUCUCAUAAGGGAAGUAACAGCAGCAUAAGCCAUAUAUCCAAAAAAUAGAAAUAUCUCUCAGUAUGAAAAUGGACAAAUUGCCACAAGUUAUGUAAUUUUUCAGUUUUUAAGAAAACAGAAAAUGCAAAGUUCUUUCUUUUACUAGCUAUUUCCAUCACAUUUCCAGCUAGGUCCACCAACCUUAUCAUCAUGUAGACAAAAGCAGAGACCAAAGUUAAAAAAAAGUAGAAAAAUUUGUGAUCAUUCAUUAUUAGACCGUACACAUAUCUAUUCAUGAAUAUAAGUAUGCUUCUUACAUACAAGAGAUUGAUGAUUUUAAUUACAUUGAAAGCAACUUAGUAGAAUUUUCCAAAUCAAAGAGAGAAAUAUUAAGAUCCAAGUAGGAAUUUCUCUAUUCCUAGUUCGAUUCAAUUAACCAAGCAUAAAUAUCUCUUAAUAUACAUGAGAAGUUUAGACUCUAAAAGUCAAAUCAACAAAAUAUUUAUGGGCUAACACAUGAAAAACUAUUGAGAAAAUCGCCUAAUUUCUGUAAAUUGGCCCUUAAAUCUCCAAAAUGAACUCUAAAAAUUGUCAGACUGUACGUAUUGCUCCCCAACUCCCUACUGAGGGUUCUGUAAAGAUUUCGAUUAGAAUUCGUCCGUAAGUCAUAUCACCAAUAUAUUAAUGACUAACACACACGAAAAACUGAGAAAAUUGUCUAAUUUCUUGAAAUUGGCCCCUAAAUGCCUAAAAUGGACUCUAAAAGUUGUGAGACUGUACGUACUGCUCCCCCGACUCCCUACAGAGGGUUUCGUAAAUGUGUAGCAAAGAAAUCGUCUGGAAGUCAUAUCACUAUAAUAUUAAUGGGCUAACACACACAAACCACUGAGAAAGUCGCGUAUUCCUGUAAAUUGGCCCCUAAAUGCCCAAAAUGAACUCUAAAAUUGUGAGACUAUGUACUGCUCCACUAACUCCCUAUGGAGGGUUCCGUAAAGAUUUCACAAAGAAAUUAUUCGGAAGACAUAUCACCAAAAUAUUUAUGGGCUAAUACAUUUUUAUUUGUCCAUUUGAUUUGACAUAUCUUUCAAGUACUUUGAUCUGGUUAUACUUUUUUUUUAUUGCUAAAAAUAAAUAUCCACUUUUACUUGUUCAUUCUACAAAACAAAGACAAUAUUUUAUUGCUUGAUUCAGAUAUAAAAUUUGAGUAGGCUAAUUUACAAACCAUCUGUAGUCAUCCUGCCCCUAUGCUAUAACAUUUGAAAGAAAGAGGUCAUCAUCAUCAUAUUCAUCAUCGUUGUCAUCUUCAUCAUCAUCUUCAUCAUCGUUGUCAUCUUCAUCAUCAUCUUCAUCUUCUUCAUCAUUAUCAUCAUCAUCAUCAUGAUCGUCAUCGUCACUUGUUUCCUCACUGUUGAAAAAGCCAGCAACAAAAGAUGAAAAAUGAAAUGUUAUGCAAGUAUAACAAGUUACACAAUUACUAUAUUGGAAGGAUUUAAAUCAUAUACAAUGACAACGUAUGAACUUUUACACUAUAGGUGCCAUUUAACUGCUUAUUAAAGCAAUUUAUAAUUAUUUUAUUACUAGUUCUGGACACGUGCUUUGCAUGUGUAUAUUACACGUUUAGUCACGAUUGUAAGAGGGUGUACACCAGGAUCAUUCGAAGAGCAAAGUCGUGUGAGCCUUACAGAUAUUCUUGACGUACUCCUAUUAAAAUCUGUAUCAUAUUCGUAACUUUUUGAAUGAGGUUCACCUUUUUCCUCAUUGUACUUUGUACAUGGAUGUUGUCCAUCACAAUAUCCCCUUUUUCAAAUUUCAUAGCUGAACUACUAGGUGUACGAGUUCCUACCAGAACUACUACCAACUAUUUAUCAAAACACACAUCAACUAUAUAUGAGUUGUUCCCUUUUACUAGUGGUGACAAAUAGGUGGAUUUGGACGGGACUGAAAAUGGAUUGAGCAACAUGGUCGUAACUCACUUAAUCUCUUAAAGCCAGAAAACUUUAAAGAGUUAAUUGAAAUAAACUUAAUGACUAUCCUACUUGAAGUAUCACCGUCGUUCAGGUAAGAAAAAGGAAGUAUAUCAAGGAAGAAGAUGUCUUACAAAGCCUGAUGGAUAUGGACCUCGAUAGAACCUCCAUAGUUGUCUUGAAUGUCCUGUUGAAUCUGCUUUGCGGAAUUCCCAACAGAUUCUGGGCAGUUUCUUAUAUAGAUUAGAGCAAGUGUGGUUAUAUCUGCAAAAUCUUGAGGGAUUGAGUCCAAAAACCUGCAACUAUCAAGAAAUAGUCGUUCAAGGCACGGAAAGUGAUCACAACUAGCUCUCCAGUACUGAAUAUGUGAUCUUUUAAGUAACAAGAACUUCAAAAAAGGAAACCCUUCCUCAGCUACUUCCCACUCCCUGCCUCUGCAUACACCCUGUGUUAGUUCAAGAAGUUCAAGUUUGGGCAAUUUUCCGACAACAAUGCUUAAAUCCUUCCAUGACAAGAAGAAAUUUCCUGUAAAAGUUAAAUUCUUAAGGUUUCGUGGAAAAGCAUCUGGAGGAGGUAAGAUCAAAGAUGGAACAACUUCUACAACAAGUGGAUUCCUUGUCUGAAAACACAUUCUCCUCUCCAAAAAGUAAGCAUUAUUUUGAGGAGGAAGACAAAAUGCUAGUUCCUCGAGAUGAUCUAAGUAGCGAAAAUCAUAGAGGUCUUUGUGACUAUGGAAGUCUUGUGGGAUGCCACGUACUUGCAACUCCUUUAAAUUGGGAAAUAGUCUAAAGAAAGAUGCAGUACAAUAGCUAGGAUUCCAUCCAAACAGAGAAUGUAAAUUUUUCAUAACCAAACUUUUCUCUGUAAGCUCAUGAUAUCGCAAGUAAUUCCGAUCCAAAUGAAGGUGCCUCAACUGUGGCAUUGUCAAAAUAUCUGAUGGUAAUAUCAAAGCAUGUUUACGAAGAUUAAUGACGAGUGGAAGGUAAAGUACCAAACUUUGCAGAUAGCAUAGGUUUGAUAUGGAUGUAGGAAUGUCUACUCUUGAUGAGAGAACAUCUUCUUCGGAUCCUAGAUAUUGCUCAACGUUAGGAUAAAUACGCAAAGCUAGGUGUCUUAAGUGAAUCAAAUAAAGUAUUUCACGGGGAAAAGUUAGACAGAUAUUAUCAGCAAGAUCUAGAACUCUUACUAGCUUGAACGGCAAGUACUCCCUCAUGCAACAUCGGAAUCUACCAAAUAAGAUAACAGAAUGAGCUUCACUGUUAAGGCACCUAACAUACUCUUUCUUAUUAUGGAUGCUGAUUCGACUUCGACUCUUAGACAAACACUGCAUGGAUUUCACAUAUGAAUUUUGAUCAUUCUUUCUUCUGAGAACAUUCACAAAAUUCAUGUUACGAGCUUCCAUCAAACAGAGUUCACGAGUCAUAUCAUGAAUUCCACAACACUUAAUUUUUCCAUCAAAAGUAGUACUUUUAAUGGAAAUUAAACUUCUAUCAAUAAGAUCUUGUAGGUACUUUUCUGCCACUUCUUCUAUGCUUUUCAUCUCUUCUACCUUCAAAAAUCCCUCUGUUUCCCACAAUAUCAUAAGUUUAUUGACAAAAAUCAGUUUAUCCUCUGGGAAGAUUGCGAAAUAUAAAAAGCAUGGUUUUAGGUGGUGAGGCAAGUAAUGGUAACUCAUUGCCAACACCCUCAUGCAUUGGACACCAACAUCUGUGCUUACUGCUGAACUUACAUUUUCAGCAACACUUUGCCACUCACUCAAUGCUUUGUCAAUUUUAGUGAGAAGUCCCGCGAUCACAACAAUUGCUAGAGGCAAUCCUCCGCAUUUCAAUGCAAUUUGCUUUCCAAGUUGUUCAUAUUCAGGGGAGAAAGAGUCUUUCGUAAAGACUUUUUCAUAUAAUAAAUUCCAACUUUCGUCAAAAUUCAUGAGGCGCAUGUGAUGAGGAAGCUUACCUGAGCUAGCAUAUUCAGCCACUUCCACAUUCCGAGUAGUCAAGAGUAUUCGGCUUCCAUUAUGAAAGUCUGGGAAACAUAUUUGUAUAUCAUCCCAAGCUUUUGUAGUCCAUAUGUCAUCAAUGACUACCAAAUAUCUCUUGCCUUUUAGAAGCUUUUGCAGUCGAUCUGCUAGUUGCCCGUCAUGUAGCUGAUCAUAAGGUUUAUCACUUAUACAAGAAAGAAGGUCUAGGAAAACAUUUCUCACACAAUACUCUUGUGAAACAGUAGCUUUUGCACGUAUGUCAAAGCGAUACAUCAUGCAUGGAUCGUUGUAGAGUUUUGUUGCCAAAGUUGUCUUGCCAAUGCCUCCCAUACCUACAAUUGAUACAACUUCUAGUUCUCUUUCUCCUCUAGCAAGUUGAUCCAGCAUCAUCUUGAAUUCAUUUUCAUAGCCAACCAUUAUAACCUCGGACCGCUCAACAGCAAGUUCAGGUAUCUUGGAUAGACAGAAAUUUUGUGCUUUGAAAUCUUUAAUGUUGUUGUACCAGUCCCAUAUUGCCAACCACUGCAUCAUGAAGGAAUCAAUACAUUCUACCUCUUGUUCCAAGGAACAACAGAGUUCCCAGAAAGCUUUGCUUCGUGUAAUUACAGUUUCUGCAGAAGAAACUUUUCUUGAUUUCGAAUCAACCAUGUCUUCUGCUUUGAAUGCUACCUCCGUGAUUUCAACUUCCAAGGUUGUUAACCCCUCAUGAUCGCCCGUUAUAUUGCAGGAUUUCUCUAGAAUAGCUCUCAAAGAUUCGAGCUUUUCAUAAAACGGUUGCAAAUCACAUCCAUUAAGUUCCAUUGAUUGGUGUAUGGUUCUCAUAAGGGAAGUAACAGCAGCAUAAGCCAUAUAUCCAAAAAAUAGGAAUCUCUCACUCUCAGUAUGAAAAUGGACAAAUUAAUUGCCACAAGUUAUGUAAUCUUUCUUUUACUAACUAUUUCCAUCACAUUUCUAGCUAGGUCCACUAACAGGAUAAAGUAGAAAGAUGUGAGGUCACUAACCUUAUCAUCAUGAAGACAAAAGAAGAGACCAAAGUUAAAAAAAAAAAAAGACGAAAAAGUAGAAAAAAUUGUGAUCAUUCAUUAUUAGACCCUACACUAAUCUCUUCAGAAAAAUAAAAUAAAAUUUUAGUUUAAAUAAAGGAAUUCAAGCUGUAUAUUGAUAACGUCCAAUUCAAAUUCAAGUGUAGUACGGUCUAGCAAUAAUAAACUCAACAAAAGUUGGAGUCGAGGAGUACGCUUGUGUCAAGGUGACAGAGAGUGUGCGAAUUUGCUAACAAACAAAAGGUCUUUCUUUUAGCUAGGUCCAUAAUCCAUGUAGUGCUCUAUACUCUCUAGUCUCUAUCAACCAGCUCAAGUUUAAGGGUGUGUUUGGUAUGGAGGAAACAUUUUCUCUAGAAUAGGGAGAGAUUUGUGCAUAAACAAGGAAGAAUCUCUCAGUAUAACAGUGAAUGGGUAUUUUUUUAAGAUUUGCUUCUUUUGUGUAUGACUUUUGUAAGAAACAUUCUGGUAAAAGUUAAAAAAAAUGAUCUUGUGGAAUAGCCACAGUGAAUUCCUUAAUAUUCGAGUAGAAAAAGCCAGAGAGGAUAACAUUGCUAUUUGUACACUUAUCGUGACACGAGUAGUCUCUUAAAUAUUACACCUUUCUACUGAUGUUGCUGAUGCCACUGGAUUUAGCCUUCCGUCUUCCUUUGCAAGGUAGAUCGAGGACUCCCAAGAAAGGAAACACAAGUUACUGGAGUCUGUUCUGGCCUAUACAGUAUGUAUGUACAUAAAAUUUGGAGUAUCUAAAAACCACUGACAAAUGGCUAUACGAAAGAUCAUAUACAAUUAAAUUACAAGCCAUUUGCAAUCAUCCUGCCCCUUUAUGCAGAAUCUUUUCAAAGAAAAUGAAAACGAACAAAACAAACACUCACACAUUUGGCUUCUGAUUUGACAUUUAUUUCAGAGAACUGGCUAGUCGCUGCAGGAAAAAAAAAGACGCAAAAAAUGGAAAAUAAUAUGUUAGAUGUCCCAUAAUUAAGGAACAAGAGAACAUUAUAGCAAGAAUGAGCAUGCAGGUAUAAGAACUUACACAUUAUUGCGGCAAGAAGCAACUUCUUUCUCAAAGUCAUCAUCAUCAUCUUCAUCUGUUGUUACACUAUCGAAAAUGCUAGCUACAAAAGAUGAAAAAUGAAAUGUUACACUUCCCAAAAUCAAGAAUGAGCAUGCAAGUAUAACAAGUUACACAAUAUUGGAAGGAUUCGAAUCAAUCACAAUGACAGCAUCAAGAACUUUUGUUGAAUUGGUGUAAUUUGACUUACUAAAGCUAUUAUCCAGAUUAUUAUCGAGUUUACUAUAAUGAUGAGUUAAAUAUUGUUGUAAAUCAAGGAAGAAGAUGUCUUACUAAAGAUUACGAGUAUGGACCUCGAUAGAGCUUCCAUAGUUGUCUUGAAUGUCCUGUUGAAUUUGCUUGGCGGAAUUCCCAACAGAUUGUUGACAGUAAUGUAUAUCAAUAAGAGCUAGUGUGGUUAUAUCUGCAAAAUCUCGAGGGAUUGAAUCCAAAUACUCGCAAUUUCUAAGAAAAAGUCGUUCAAGGUACGGAAAGUGAUCACUACUAGCUCUCCAGUACCGAAUGUAUAUUUGAUCCAGAAACAAGAACUUCAAGUGAGGAAACCCUUCCUCAACUACUUCCCACUCCUCGCCUAUGACGGCAUUGUGUGAUAGUUUAAGGACCUCGAGUUUGGGUAAUUUACCAACAAUGCUCAAAUCCUUCCAUGCCAAAAGGAAAUCUCCUCUAAAAGUUAAACUCUGGAAAAGAUUAAUUAACAAAAAUUUAUGGUACUAAUUGGGGUAUUAAUUAACAUAUCCUUACUUGAUCACAUAUGUAUUGUUCUGUGUGAAAUUUUCCUCUGACUGAUAGUUGACUAAAUUAUAUUGCAUACGUUCGUGUACAUUUUCUCACUUGGAAGAGUGGAUUUGGACGUAAUUAACUAUCACCAUCGUUUAGGUAGAAAAAAGAAAAUAACUAAUAGUUGAAUGUUUUAAUACAUAGAUGAUCAACUAAUAUGAGAAGAAAAGAGUAGCGUAAAUGUGAGAUUCACUUCUCACCAAGAAUCCUCCUUUCUUAUUAUUUUCCUUUUAGAGGUUAAUAAUUAUUAAGUAUCCCUAGAAUAAUUUAUUGAAAAAGUAGAUUUGAAAGAAAGCAAUUACUCUCUUCUUCCUAUGCGGGACUUCUUGAACAUAACUAAUUUGACAAAAACCACAAUUUUAUUUAUUUUUAGGUGGAAUUAUAUCAAUAAGGAACUAUAUAUGCUUAUGAUAUUAAUCUAAGACCAUUAUUUGUUACUUGAACACAUGGAUUCAUCAUCUGAACAAUUGAAACAAUUAAUACUUGUGUGAACCUUUUUUUAUUUCGAGUGAUGUGUCAUAAUCAUUAGCCAACUAAGACUAGCGUUAAAUUUUUGGUAAGUCUCAAGAAGUGUAAUUAAUACUUAAUAAAAUAAUCUCAUCCUUGAGAUUCAAGAACUUGUUUGGAUUGAAUAGGUUUUUAUCAUCAAGAUCUAGAACAAAGUCUUAAUAUUAGUAAGAGGUAUUUUUGUGUGAAAAGUUUUCUUUGAGGUUCGAGAAAUGGAAUAGAUAUGGACUACAAGUUGAUAUUUCCCAUUGGAAAAUUCACACAAAAAGGAACAAGGAAUUCUCAAUGAAAAAAGCGCUCUCCAAAUCUGUUUAGUAUUUGUCAUGAGGUUCUUAUCAUAAUUGGAUUUUCCUUUUAGGAAAAGGUAAACACAGUCUCCAUAUUUGUCUAGUUCUUUUUCUUGUAGGAAAAAAAUUAUGACUCUAUAAAUAGAUGUUUUGUAACAUCCGACAAUUUGAAAUAGCUAAGAAGAGGCUUGAAAUUUGGAAAUUUUCAAUUUUUGGAAAGGAUUUGAAAAUCUGGAAAAUUUGGCUAAGUAUGGGAAAGGUGAGUUUUUUUGGGCCCAAACUUUGAACAACCAUAAAUUCUAGCUCAGGAUGAGUUAGGUGGAGUUCCGGUUAUGUUUGCAUAGCCCUCGGAACGACCUUUCCAACGCCACUGAGUUUGCUCAAUUCUGAGUUCGUAUGAGCGAGUUAUGGCCAUUGAAAGUUGGGCAGUUGGCAGGGAAUCCGUCCGGAAAAUUAAGGGCAUUUUAGUCUUUUCCCUAGCCAAUUCUUUUGGGAUUAUAUUGUUGUAUAGGGCUGAUCUUUAGAUCAUUUUGUCCCAUUUUAAGAAAUUAAAAUCUAGGGCUUGAGAGUGAAGAAGAGAAGAAGGAGAAGAAGAAGAGAAAAAUCGAGGAGAUCAACAAGUUUCCGACAAGAUCAUCGUGAAUGUUCGUCGGGGGUGAUCCCUAUCAAGGUAUGUGAGCUUUUAGUGUUGGGUGAUACUUUCCCCCACACACCUAGCCCCUUUUAUUUAUUAAGGAAGGAUUGGUUAUGUUGUUAAAGUUGUUAGUUGUUGUGGUUGAAGUUGUUGGAGUUGUUAAAGUUGUUAGUUGUUGUUGUUGGAAUUAUUGUUGGUGGUGGGACAUAAUUGAGUUGUGUUUUUAUGUUGAAAUCUAUUGAAUGUUGAGGGAUUUUAUGUUUCUAAGUGAUUGGGGGCUGGAAUCUUUGAGGUUAGAGGGUUUAGAGUUGGUAACGUGAAGGAGAAAGUCGGGUAGCUUGCGAGGAGCAUGUCUGCGUCGCGGACUUGUUCCUCUGUGAACAAAAAAUCUUCUCCGCGUCGCGGACAGGACGCAGACUCCACUGUUUUCAGAAUUUAUGUUCGAAGAUUUUCUUAGGUUUGGCUGUCCCAAAUCAUUCGCAAAUCAUUCCUAAACAUCAUGAGACCCUUCCAAACACCAAUCAAGUCCUUGAAUCCAUAAUCCAAUUCAAGGUGAGUUAUGAUCAAGUCAAGUGAAGUUAGUUUUCAAGUCAAGUGAAGUUAGAAGUCAAGUGAAGUUAGAGCCAAGCUUAGAAGUUAAGCAAGUCAAAGCAAGUCUUUAAAGCUUUUCAAGAGUCUUCAUUGAACGUUUUGACUUCAUUCUAAGGCUCAAGUUCCAAGUUAAGUAUAGAGUUUCAAGUCAAGCAAAGAGUCUCAAGUUUCAAGUUAAGUAAAGAGUAUCGAGUUUCAAUUUAAGUCAUAAUUUUUCAGUCAAGAGUCAAGAGUUGAGUUCAAUUCUCAAAAGUAAUUAGGGAACUAAGUAUUUCCCAAAGAAGUUUUAUAAGUGUUUUCACAUUUAAGUUGAGAGGAAACGGAGAUUUCCAAAAGAGUUUUGAGAAGUUUGAGCACUAUCUCUUUUAAAAGAAAAGAUGAGUUUUUGAAAAAGAGUUUCUAAAUUAUGAUUAGUAUGACAAAUGGAGUAUGUCAUCAAUGUUUAAACAGUAUGGUCUCUAGAUAUACCAUCAAUGUUUAAGCAGUAUGAAUAUCCCGAGUCAUCAAUGAUCAUAAAAAAAAAAAAUGUGGUUUUGACUUGUUCUAUUUAGAAAGAGUUUUCAAGUGCCUUCGGGCUAAGUUUUGAGUAAUUAUCUCAACUAAAGAAAGAUGUGCUUAAAACACUUAUGAGCUAAAGUAUUUUGGGAGUAGUAUCGAGCACCGAAUUGGGGAAACGAGUUCAUAUUAAACUCAACUCUCCAUAAGAACCAUGUAGCCAAACAUGGGAUUUCUCGGAUCAUACUUUUUAGAUGAUCACGAAAGUUAAGCUAGUGGAUCCAUUAAGCAAAAGUUAAAGUAAGGUCCUAUAUCGAUGGCAAGGUAUAGGAUGGUCCUUGGGCAACGUGAGGUAAAACGUUGUAUCACCACUCAGAUUCAUAGUGGUGGUUUGUCGGUUAGAGAAGCUCCCACAGUAGAAAGAGCAUGGUUCCUCGAGGGUUCUGCUUAGUAUGGAUGGGGGUAUGGGACUUCAUUCAUGCAUUGCACAAGUAGACUUUGAGAGGAAGCAUGGUAUUUUUAUGAUAUUAUAAAUAUGAUUUUUACGUCAUGUUUUAAUAGUUUCAAAAGCUUUAUAUAUAUUGCAUGUGUCUCAUUGCUUUAUAUUAAGUUCAGUUAUUCUUGAGUUGUACAGAGCCAAGGUAAGUUCUCUUUUGUAUCCCUUUUCAAGCUUAAGUUGUUGUUUAGCGGUCCAGCUCGCAUACUCGUACAUUCCAUGUACUGAUGCCAGUUGGCCUGCAUCUUAUGACGAUGCAGACACNNNNNNNNNNNNNNNNNNNNNNNNNNNNNNNNNNNNNNNNNNNNNNNNNNNNNNNNNNNNNNNNNNNNNNNNNNNNNNNNNNNNNNNNNNNNNNNNNNNNNNNNNNCAGUCAGUUAGUUUUGAGUCUCUCAUCUAUGUAUAUAUGUAAAUAUUCUAUUUUGAGACUCGAGUGGCCUUUUUGGCCAGAUGUGUAUCAUUUAAGUUGUUUAUGUCUUUGCAUGGCAUUGAGUUAUUCUGUUGAGUAGGUUUCCGCUGAGUUAAGAAAGCCAGGCCAAGGGUUCGCUUGGGGCCAGCAAUGGUCUCUGAGUGCCGGUCCCGCCCAGGGUGUAGGCUCGGGGCGUGACAUGUUUAUUCAUUCUAGCUUGGUAGCAUUCAUAAUGCAAUCCUAGGGGGCUUUGAGAGUUUUGUGUAUUGUGUGAAGCUAGAGGAAGAAUGUAUGAGACACAAGUAUUACUUUAACACUUGUGUGAACCUCUUUGUAUUCAGAGUGAAUUGUGUGAGGUUAUUCUUCUCUAGAUUUUAUAGUGAUUUUUUCAUCUCCUCUUGUGGAUGUAGAUCGGUUGACCGAACCACGAUAAAUGUUUGUGUCUUUUGAUAUAUUUCUUGUUUGUCUUAUUACUCAUCGUCUUUCAAGGUUUGCUUUGCUAGCUUUUGCAUGACACCUAAUUAUUUCAGUCCCAACAAGUGACAUCAGAGUCAGGUUCAAUGGUUUAAUGAUUCAAUGGUCGAACCAUGUUAAAAAUAAGUGUUCAUCUUGACGGGUUUAGUUCUAGCCGUAACAUAUUUGACAGUAAUGAAGAUUUUUGUUGGAGAAAUAUUUUCAAAGAUGUUUUCUGUGUUGAUAUAUAUAUAUAUAUAUAUAUAUAUAGAUUUUGCAGAGGAGAUGCAAGGUAUUGAAGAUUAUGUGAAGAAGGUGGAUCAAAUUUAUUUUGUCAGAAAUUUAGGCCAAUGGAGAUAUUUGUUUAGUAUUUGUCAUGAAUUUCUUAUCAUAAUUGGGUUUUUUCUUUUAGAAAAAGGAAACCACAAAGUUUCCAUAUUUGGCUAGUUCUUUUUCUUGUAGGAAAAUGUUUGACUCUAAAAUUAUAUGUGUAUUCCUUCUAGCCUAAUAGCAUUUACAAUGUAGUCCUAAGGGGCAUAGAGAGUUUUGUGUAUUGCGUGUAGCUAGGGGGAGAAUGUGUGAGACACAAGUGUUACUUUAACACUUGUGUAAACCUCUUUGUUUUUCCAUUGAAUUGUGUAAGGUUAUUCCUCUCAAUAUUUUGUACUUUCUUUUAUAUAGUGAAUUGCUCAUAUCCUCUUUUGGAUGUAGGUCGGUUGUCCGAACUACGUUGAAUAUUUAUGUCUUUUGGUAUAUUUUUCGUUUGUAUUAUUACUCAUGGUCUUUCAAAAUUUGCUUUGCUAGCUUUUGCCUGAUACCUAAUAAUUUCAGUCCCAACAAAACCAAACGUGAAAGUUGUUUUCCAGCAGACAACUUUUCUAGUAGCUCUACUCUCGACUUGGAUAAUUUAACCAAAAAGGUACGCUUUCGGCCAUUCUACAUGCUGCCUAUGUAGAGACAUGUUUAUCUAAAGUGGAUUCUCUUUUUUGUAGUAGGUAUCAAACCUGUUAUGCCCAUUGACUAAGAAGCUAGGGGUGGACACAACAACUACAUGGACCUCUUUCUUACAUCGGCCAUCACUAUUAAUCGUCUUUGUUAUCACAAUGACCACCACUAUUACCGUCAUCAAACAUCUCUGUCCUCACAAUUACCAUUAUUAUCAACCACUACUAUAUAUCAAACAUUUGCUAUAUUUAUGUUUUUUAUUGACAUAAACAAUGGGUUAACAUGAUAUAAUUUAUUAGUAGUUUUAUAUAUUUUUCUUAUAAUAAAGGAAACAAUCACUUAUACAUUCUUUGAGAUCAUUUAGUUUAAAAUCAGGAGUGGAAUCAUAACUAGGGUUAUAGCUUAGCAUCAAUUCACCUUCUUAAUUAAUGGGAUAAUUUAAUUAGCUAAAUUUGAAUGAAAAGAAGAAGAAAUUGAUUAAUUUAAUUCGUUUACGUUCCAAUGGGGUGUGCAAUAUCCAUAAAUUUGUCAUGUCGUUAUUAGGUGUUCAUGAGAUGCACAUAUUCCAAGCAAAAGUACCUAUUUGAUCACUAGAUGAGUUUAAGUAUUCAAUUUACAAAUUCUGCCAAAUUUGAGGGACUAUCUAGGUAUUAUUUAGAUAAAAUUAUUUGUAUAGUCCACUCUAAACAUACUUAUAAUUAAGCAAGUAACAUAUACUAUAUAAAGAAGCUUCUAGAGAUAAUUAAAGUUAACUCUAUAUAAUUAGAGUUGCAAUAACAAAUACGUCAAAACAUUAAAGUGUUUCACCAAUAAAGUCAUUUUUUUAAUGUCCAAAACUAAUCCAAUGGAAGCUCUAUUAUGUGGAACACCAGAAGAAGUUUCAGUAUUGUUGGUACAUCAUGAAGUAGAAUUUCUUACUAAUCAGACUGUUAAAUUGUUAGAGGCUUAUAAAUACAAAGGUGACAUUCUAGAAUUUUUUUAACUUUUUUGUUUCUUUGAUAUAAUAACUAAAUGCCGUGUGACAUUUUUUUUUAUAUAUAGAGAGAGAUUGAAAUGAUAUGCUUUUUGUUAUCUCAUUUAUGAUUUUAGCAUCGUCCAUUUUUAAAUUUCAUUUAUCUUGUAAAUCUUGAACUUUUCUUUUUCCUUGUUAUCAUAGCACUUUUUAAUUUUUACAAAUUUAUCUAUCCUCGAAGAAAAAUAAUUCUACAUUAGUGAUGGAUGCACAAGAAAUUAGGAUGACGGGAGGGAAGAGAAAGAGCACGAAAAAGACAUGAUAAGAGAUGAUCUGUCUAUCAUUAUUACUUGAGAUAAUAUUUUUUUGUCUUUUAUUGGAUGUAUAAAAAAAAAUGAGGAGAUCUAAUUUUCAUUAAAAAAACAUUUCCCUUUCUAUUUUUUGUUUUUGUUUUUCGUUGGACGUAGACAAAAAAUUGGCAACUCCUUUCUUAUACUUUGUUAGAUCAUCUAAUUACAUAUCUAUGAAAUAAAAUUACCUCAAAACAUUUUAUCCUAUUAUCUUUUGCUUUAAUAUUUAUUUGUUUUUGACAAGCCAUAAAUAAAUUGGAAUAGUUUUUAGAAAUAUAUUCUUUAGGAUCUUCUCUAGUUUUUAGUAAUCCAAUUAACGAAAAAAAAAAACUAAUAUAUACUUUUUAUGUAACCAAUCUAGUUAAGAUUGCACUCAUCAUUUAUAAUAUAAGUUGAUUAAUAUGUGUUAUUUUAAAAAUUAAAGUGCAGAAAUAUAACAUGAAAAUUCACAGUUGAAUUUGAAUAACAAACAAACAUAUCCAAAUGAUACCUUUGUGUACAAUAUUUUUUUUUUCAUAAUUUUCACUGAUUUCAAAUUGCACGGGUAUAUGUAGUUACGGAAGUUAUGGCUCCUGCGGCAAUGUCAAUGCUUUUCAAAGAAAAGAAAAAAAUUGAUGCAAUGAUAAUCAAGGUCAUUUCACCGGAUUCACAUUGCUUUGAGCUCCUGGCACAAGCUGUAACCUUGAACAUCAUCGUAGUAAGUAAGUAUUUAUAAUUCUAUCUUCCACUUAUUAUUAUAGACGGUAAAGUAAGUUUUUUUAAUUAACUAUUGCAUAAUGUAUAUAAUAUUAUUCAAUUUUAAUUGCUAUCUUCUUGAUAUAAUUAUGCAGUUGUCUAUGAUGAACUCAAUGAAUUCUUAGUGAAGAAAGCUUUGGACAAUGGAGCUUACAUUUGCUCGAAGAAGCCUCUUGUCGAGCAAACUAUGACAUUCUUGUGGCAAUUUGUAUGGAGGGAGAAAACACAAAGAGGGAAAUCAAUAAAAAGAGUAGAAACAAAGGGAGAUCAUAUUUUUGUUUGAAGUUAUUGGAGUUCUGAGAAAACAAUAGGUCGUGGUUUUUUCCUCCCUUGAGCAAAGAGGUUUCCACGUUAACAUAUGUGUUCUUACUUUAAGCAUUUAGAUUACUUCUUGUUAUCAGUAUAGUCAAGUGGUCAGAACACGAGAAGACAUGUCACUAAACAACAACAUAUAUAGGAAAAAACAAACUCUGCUAAGUGAUCGAUCCGUGUGUGAUAGUUGCCUUCUUAACCUUGAACUAUUGCUUCCUGCUAGAUUAUAUGAACUUAGAUAUGUAUACAAAUUAGUAUUCAAUGAGUUCCCAAACAUUCGUGCAUAAACAAUUUCCCCUGUUGUCGUGCCACCAGGACUUAGCAUAUGUUCUGUAUUUGUAUAAUUUCGAUGAUGAUCAUGAGAUUGCUGGGAUAAUGGAGGCAUAUUAUUAUUGUGUAUUAGACCGUGACUCCUACAUCUCGAACUAGGAGGUCUUUGUGGUAUGACUAUACCAAAAUUCUAUACCAAAAUUCGGGGCCUUAAUUUCAGAUGUUUUUGUAGCUUGACAGCGACCAUAGAGUGGAAUCAAUGUUUUUUGUGAGACUUCAGCUUUGCAAACAGGGCAAUUUGGUUGUUGGUUAUCGAUGUUCUCUGAUGAAAUGGUCUUAAAAUGUAUCCAUUUGUAGAUGCAAGGCCAACAAUAGGAGGUGACCACAUAAUGUAACAACAGGAUCAUGUACAACAUCUAGGCAAAUGUUGCACUCGAAACCUCCAGGUGAAUUUUCUUCAAGUUUAUCAAGAUCAAUUGUCUCCAUUUUUCAAAGGAAAUAUCGCGUUGAUCAAAGGUAGUUUCUGCUAUUUGGUCUUGAAAAAUUUGUUCUAAGGCCAUAUUUGCCUCUUGGUAUUGAAUUAUUUUGGUAAUGGCAAGAUGAAGAAUGGUUAGAAUUCAGGUUUUUAAUACAAUUAGAAGUGAGUAUUUAUAAGGACAAAGAAUAGUAGUUUGCAAACAAUGAUUCUUAAGGUUGUCACUUGUCAACAUCACAUUAUGUUAAAGGGGCAUGGCCAAAAAGAAAAGGCCCUACACAUUAUUAAACAACACUAUAUCAUAUUACUCAACAGUCUUGAUUUAUGGGGUAUUGUUUGAUUUGAUAUAACAUUUAAUAAGAAAAUGAAGACUUUUAAAAUAUGUACUGUAUUAAAGAUAAAAAAUAAAUUUUAAGUUUUUCGAUCCUAGAAAUGAUAUUCUUUUUAUAUUAAGACUAAAACAAAUGUUUUACAUAAAUUAAGAUAGAUGAACUAUCAAACACAUCAUAAUUAAGUGAUUUAAUGAAGUCAAAAAUAAAUAUUAAUGGAUCAUGGUUAAGUGAGAGGAGUUUUGUGCAAACACGUCUUUUAUCUAUCUAUUUGAUUUAAACAAGCAUAAGUUUUAUCAUAUUAGAAAUAUGAUUAGGACCUUAUAUUAGGCCCCAUGAUAGGAAUCUUAAUCUAGAAAAUAACUUUUAGUCAAUAAAAAGUAGCACUAGUUGCGUACAAGGAGCUACCACUUGAUGACCUUCCACACUUCCACAUCCCAUAAGUUCAAUAGUUUUCACACUAUAAGAACUAGAUGUUUUUUUCCGCGUGAAUCAAUAAAAUUUUUAGUUUUAUGUUAUAAAACAUGAUUUUUUUCAUUUUGAUUUUAUUAAACUAAUUCACUAAGAAAAUUCAUAACGAAACAUAAGUUCUCAUUGAAAUACUGGAAAUAGUCACUUGGAAAUUUAUGAGUUUUAGGAAAUUAUGCAUCAAAACUUAGAAAGACGCGGCUCAUAUAGAAAUUUGUUGUUAAAUCAUAAUAUAUACUUUUACAUCUGAAUAUCUUUAUUGAUUUGGUUAAAAUUAUAAUUAAAAAAAUUACAAUACAAUAUAUAUAGAUUCACAUAAAUUUAAUACUGUAAGUUCAAUUAUUAUUCAAUUAUUAUUAUGAUAUAUUAAUCUAAAAUUAUUAUAGAAGCUUCUAAACUCUAAAUUCAGAUCCAACUAAGGAGUGAAUAUACAUAGUGGGGGUCUGGGGGAUGGGAGAAAACAUAUGGACGGUGUGACAAAUAAAUAAAAGAAAUACUCCGUCCAUUCCAUUUGACUUAGUAUUGUUUGACUUAAUACGAUGUAUAAGAGAAAAAAAAGAUUUUAGAAAAUUAUAGGCUAAAACAAUUUUUAUAUAUUUAUAUAAUUGUAAAUCAUUUCAUUAAUUAAGGGUAGAUGGAGAAUUUUAAGUUUAAUUAUUUUCAAUUACAAUAAAAUGACAUUUUUAAAGACGGAUUAUGAGAAUAGAGUGCCACGUAAAAUAAAACGAGAAAAUACUACUCCCUCCUUCCCAUUUUAUAUGUUACCUUUUUACUUUACAUUUACAUUAAGAAAUAAUGUAACUUUACCCUUCUACCCUUAUUUAAUGUUUUCUUAAGUUAACUUUAUAACUCCCUCCGUCCCAUUUUAUAUGUCAUCUCUUUCUAUAAAUAGUUGGACCACAAUACUUGUCAUUUUAUAAAAUUUAUGUAUAAAUUACCAUAUUUUACCUAUUAUAUCCUUGAUAGAGUAGUUAAUUAAUCUUGAAAAUAUAUUCAUCAUUUAUUAUAAAUUGACUUAAGAAAAUAUUAAAUAAGAAUAGAAAGAUAAAAUUACAUCAUUUCUUAAUAAAAGUAUAAAGUAAAAAUGUGACGUAUAAAAUAGAACGGAGGGAGUACUACAAAAGAACGAGUCCGCACAUGCAUUAUACAAGUACUACAUGUGUCUCGAAUUUAGCAGCCUUUUGUCAACUUUUUAUAUUUUGGCUUACUUGGAAGCAAGUCUAUCCUCUCCUAUACAAUCAAUUAGGGUGGCCAUUAAUCAUAUAUUAUUAGGCUAAAGAUAACAUAUUGCUCCCUCCGUUUUUAAUUAUUUAUCCAUUUUUUUAGUUAUUCCUAAUUACUUGUCUAUUUUUACAAAUCAAGAAAGAACAAUUUUUUUUACCUAUUAUACCGUCAAUUUAUUACUUUGAAAAAAGUAGAACUUUUUGAAAAUCUUGAGUUUUUAAUUCAUCCACUUCAUAAUUAAUAUGGAUAAAAUGGUAAACUCACUAUUUCAAUAAUUGUUUUCUUAAUAGGUGUGCCAAUUCAAAAAUGGACAAGUAAUUAGGGAUAGAGAAAGUAUAUCGAAAUAAUAUAAUAAGAUAUUAUGCUAAAGAUAAUUAACAAAACUUUGAACAAUUAUAAAUAAGAUAGCAAAAAAAUCCAUAGUAAAUUAACAUGGUUCAACGAUUAGUGAUGGAAUCUGAAUAUGAUUCAGGAUUUUCACUAUUAAUGAAAUUCAAAAGGAAUAAUACAUAAAUGUGCCCUUUAACUUGACUUCAUUUUAUGUUUAUGUCCUUCAACUUUGGGUAUACACAAAUAUGCACCUAAACUUGUAUAAAGUUGAACAACUAGACACAUGAGUCCUACAUGACACAAUACACAUAAGAUACCACGUAGGAUAAAAAAUGCCAUGUAGGACAUGUGUGUCUAUUUUUUCAACUUUAUACAAAUUUAAAUAUCUACUUGUGCACACCCAAAGUUGAAGGGCAUAAAUGUGAUUUGAAGCCAAGUUAAAGGGUAUAUUUAUGUAUUAUGCCUAUUCAAAAUAUGAAUAAAUAAACAUAUAAAUUAGCUGACUACAAUAAUAGACAGAUAAAAAAUAAUUUUAACUAUAUGUAUAAAUAAUAUAAUUUUUCAUCGAAAGAGGUUCAUCUGAUUCCUCACUACUUUCUCUCAUUCAAAACUAAGCAAUAUGAGACUUUCAUGUCACAUGGAACCCUUUUUUUUUUUUUUGGAAAUCUCAGUAGUUCAGUUAAUUGACUGACUAUCUGAAUUCUCGAUUUCCCAUGUUGUAAUCCUCUACCCCAAUUUUUUUAUUACCUUCCUCACAUAUGUAUAAGACCGAAUCCAAAUAUCUAAGAUGAGAGAAUUUUGGGAGAGCCACCGACUCCAACUACUGCCAUAUAUUAUCCAUAUUAGAUUUGACCAACUAUCCAUCCUACCCUCCUCUACGUUCUUGACAACCCAUUUUUGUCUUAGUCAAGUCUUUUAGUGGCACGUUUUGAUCCUCUUUUCAAUUACUUAGAAAAAGUGAGUUAUUAUUCAGAUACAAAAUACUAUCAUUAUCGCCUAAAAAAUUAGACAUUCAACCCGUAAUCACAAUGAUCCAAUUACAAAAGCUCCGAACCCCCUAGGUCUAGACUGGCU